rnacentral:rRNA from 1 species
AACGAACGCUGGCGGCAUGCCUAACACAUGCAAGUCGAACGAGACCUUCGGGUCUAGUGGCGCACGGGUGCGUAACGCGUGGGAACCUGCCCUUAGGUUCGGAAUAACUCCCCGAAAGGGGUGCUAAUACCAGAUAAUGUCUUCGGACCAAAGAUUUAUCGCCUUUGGAUGGGCCCGCGUUGGAUUAGCUAGUUGGUAGGGUAAAAGCCUACCAAGGCGACGAUCCAUAGCUGGUCUGAGAGGAUGAUCAGCCACACUGGGACUGAGACACGGCCCAGACUCCUACAGGAGGCAGCAGUGGGGAAUAUUGGACAAUGGGCGAAAGCCUGAUCCAGCAAUGCCGCGUGAGUGAUGAAGGCCUUAGGGUUGUAAAGCUCUUUUACCCGGGAUGAUAAUGACAGUACCGGGAGAAUAAGCUCCGGCUAACUCCGUG